ACACAUACACACAUCCACAUAUAUACACAUGUGCAUACCUACAUACACACACACACACACACACACACACACACACACACACACACACACACACACACCGCGCAUGUAUAUACACACAUACCCACAUACGUGCAUACACACACACACACACACACACACACACACACACACACACACACACACACACACACACACACACACACACACACAUAUACAUACACACAUACAUUUACGCACAUACACACCUACGUACACAUACAUACACAUGUAUACACACACAUACAAAAAAAUAUACUUAUAAAAAUAAAUAUUUUUAAAUAUAUACAGAUACAUACACACACACACACACACACAUACAUACAUACAUACAUACACCCAUACACACACAUCUACAUACACACCCCAGAAUAAUAAUCUACGCUAAUUUAAAAUAUACACAUACCUAAUACUAAAAUGCUAAGAGAAAAUAAUAAUAAAGUACAAAUGCUAAUUAUAUGUACGCACACCUACACAGACACAAGCCCCACGGAGGUCUGGUGGGAAUCUAAUCGUGAGAGCGGGCCAGGCUAUGACAAAGGCAGAACAGCACAAAACAUGAACAUGCUAUCCAGGUGUCUGCGUCUGCCCCUUCCCAGCCAUCACCCCCAGACCCCCGCAAGCAAUAAAUAAAUGGUAUGGUAAUAGGAAUAAUGUAAGAAUUGAAAAAUAAAUAACGAAACAAAACAAAAAUGGGGGAAUAUAAGUAUAUCCAUCCGAAAGUGUCAAUGAUCAGACCUGGAAGGCCUCCCAAACAGGCAUCACCCUGAACCCAGUCAGAAUUAAAGUGAAAUUAACGUUAAAUGAGAGCUCUGACCGCCCUCCAUUGGACAACUCAGCGUGUUACAUGUUCGGCAGCCCUUGUUGAGACCGUUUAGUACGGUUUCACCCGUUAUGGUAUAGUAUGGGUUCGAGUCCAUGAGCAGACCCUAACACACAAUGACAAGAUACUCUAACCCGUACGGGGGAUUGGCGUAUAUUCCCGGAUAAACUUCUCUGCGUCCAAUACCGAGGAGAGCCAAAUCUUCUCCCCAGAAGGCGGGGUAAUUCUUAGUCUUGCAGGGAAGAGCAAGGCUGGGCGAAGAUGGAGUUUGUAGAGUUUGGUCAUGACAUCUCUGUAGCCGGCGCGGUGCUUUGCCACAUCGGGCGCAUAAUCCUCAUAUACACGGAAGGGGUGCCCUUUAUGUAACAGGUUGCCCCUCAUUCGAGCCACACGCAGGAUAAGAUCCUUGGUCUUGAAACUGUGAAAACAGAUGAUUACUGGGUGAGGACGUUGGCCCGGUCGAGGCACUGGGACAAGGGCGCGAUGUGCACGGUCCAGUUGGGGACCUGAAGCCAAAACAUCCGAUCCCAUUGCAUCCUUCAAUAGCUUGGCGAAGAAGUCGGUGGGGCGAGAGCCUGCCUCCACCCCCUCUGCCAGACCAACAACGCAAAGGUUAUGACGUCUGGAUCGGCCCUCCAGGUCGACCACUUUCACAGAAAGCCUCUGCACACUAUCCUGCAAUGACGUGCAUAGCUUCUCUAACUCGUCGAUCCUACCAGCGUUGAAUUCAGAAGCUUUCUCAAGGUCCACAAUACUCUGGCCCUGCGAGGGGACCGUUCGAAUGGUGCUCUCAAUUUUAGUGUCCAGUUCAGCAAUAGUAGCCUUAAGAUCCUCAGCUAUAGCAACACGUAGUUCUCCCAAAGCCCGGGUAAGGUCUGUAAGUGUCACGUUGUUACCUGUGCCCUCCGCCAUGUCUGUCUCGUUGUUUGGCGGGGAGUAGGCCUCCGAAGUGGAUUUAUUGUCCUUUGGUCGCUUAUUACUCGGCAUUUUCACAUAGAAAGUUACAAUAUUGUAUUAGAAAGAAACGUUUGUUGUAAAAAGUGCCAUAAAGUAGGUUAGGUUAGAUUAUUUCGCAAAAAAGUUGCAGGAGCCUCUCACACACAGCCGUUCACUCCAACAUGCUAGCUCCGCCCCAGAAUAAUAUAUUUUUUUAAACAGUGUGUAUUCUGCACAUACUCUGUGACAUACAGUAGACAAUCACAUGUUACUACUGUAAAUAAAUGAAUUAUAAAGAAUAAUGAAAUGAAAAUAAAUGAUCAAACUCAAAACAGCUCAUGAAGAAUAUCAUCAUUCCUAUUCUCAUCAUUUAUAAUGUGUCUGACUCAUGCAGCUCAUAGUGGCUGUGUGGGAUGAGGGGGCUUUGGAGCGAGAGUCAUCUGAAGUGUUUGCAGCACAAAUUCAACAAUGAGUUGGAAGGAAUAGGUGACAGUGGCUAACCACAAGCAUUGCAACUGGUAAUUCAGACUGGGAAAAUACGUUUUGAACGGUCAUCCAAUUCGGAAUUGUAAAUCUUUUUCUUUGAUGACAAAAUUUGCUGACGAAGGACCGCCGCUCACAACAAGGGGACAGUGCUAGUAACAGUGGCUUGACUGCGGCUGGUGCUGUUCCCCUAGUCCAUGGACCUCUCCGACACCUGAAGGACUGGGGACGAAGGAAAGGUAACAGUCUAGUCCCCCCGGACCCUCUGAGCCACCUUCACCACUCAUAUCACCCUCAAUCCCUCCACCAAGACAGUUCAGGGGGCCACCAGGCAGUCAGUGGUGAGGCAUGCCAAGACCUGUGAACAGCCAAGAACCACCGAAUAACAUAAACUACCCGCCAGAAGCCCUCAACCCCAGUAACCCAUCACCAUGACCCUGAAAAUACCAUCAGAACAGAAAGACACACUCCAGAUGGCUGUUCAUGUUUACAUCCCCACUAGGGAAUCCAUCCAUAGAUACCACAAGCGUCCAGCCUUUGCACUUCCUCCAGCACCAGUCCCAGCAUCAACUCAGUUCCCGGUUUCCAGUACCAGACCACGAAACGAGACACAGACCUUCACUUCACAGAUUGUUCUUCCUCCCCUCUACAGACCCGGUACCCAGCCAUGGUUACCAGCCCCUUCGUCAACCCUGGACACAGCAUUGGCCACCACAACUGCCACCUCCACCCAGCCACUGAAUAUACAUUUUUCUAUGGUGUUCAUCAUUUUUUUCAGCAUACCUUUUGAUGAGCAGUUGAUUAGAUUUUUCUGCUAUGAUUUCAUGACUUAUUGAUGUAAUUCCUUAUUAUUUAUUGAACUGUUUAUUUACUGAAUUAUUGAUUAUCUUUUAACUUGAUUGAAAUGUGUACAUGGUUUAACUUAAUAUACAGUAUAAUAUAAAUAAUAUUAACAUUGCUGUUUACAUAUAGUAAUAAAGUGGUAACACAUACACCUCUAUAAACAUCACUGGAACUACAAAUCUUUGCAUCCAGCCUUAGCAUGUACUUGACAGUACAACAAAACUGAUGAACAGGAAUUACAUUUAAUCUACUGGGUAGCCAAAAAAGAUCUACAGUGCCUUGCAAAAGUAUUCACCCCCUUGGUGAUUUUCCUAUUUUGUUGCAUUACAACCUGUUAUUUAAAUGUAUUUUUAUUUGGAUUUCAUGUAAUGGACAUACACAAAAUAGUCCAAAUUGGUGAAGUGAAAUGAAAAAAAAAUACUUUUUUUCAAAAAGAUUAUAUAAAAUAAAAAACGGAAAAGUAGUGCAUGCAUAUGUAUUCACCCCCUUUGCUAUGAAGCCCCUAAAUAAGAUCUGGUGCAACCAAUUACCUUCAGAAGUCACAUAAUUAGUUAAAUAAAGUCCACCUGUGUGCAAUCUAAGUGUCACAUGAUCUUAGUAUGCAUACACCUGUUCUGAAAGGCCCCAGAGUCUGCAACACCACUAAGCAAGGGGCACCACUAAGCAAGAGGCACUAUGAAGGCCAAGGAGCUCUCCAAACAGGUCAGGGACAAAGUUGUGGAGAAGUACAGAUCAGGGUUGGGUUAUAAAAACUAUCAGAAGCUUUGAACAUCCCACAGAGCACCAUUAAAUCCAUUAUUAAAUAAUGGAAAGAAUAUUGCACCACAACAAACCUGCCAAUAGAGGGCUGCCCACCAAAACUCACGAACCAGGCAAGGAGGGCAUUAAUCAGAGAGGCAACAAAGAGACCAAAGAUAACCCUGAAGAAGAUGCAAAGCUCCACAGUGGAGAUUGGAGUAUCUGUCCAUAGGACCACUUUAAGCCAUACACUCCACAGAGCUGGGCUUUACGGAAGAGUGGCCAGAAAAAAAUUAGCAAACAUGUUUGGUGUUCACCAACCCAACACCUCUCAUCACCCAGAGAACACCAUCCCCACAGUGAAGCAUGGUGGUGGCACCAUCAUGCUGUGGGGGAUGUUUUUAAUCGUUAGGGACUGAGAAACUGGUCAGAAUUGAAGGAAUGAUGGGUGGCGCUAAAUACAGGGAAAUUCUUGCGGGAAACCUGUUUCAGUCUUCCAGAGAUUUGAGACUGGGACGGAGGUUCACCUUCCAGCAGGACAAUGACCCUAAGCCUACUGCUAAAGCAACACUUGAGUGGUUUAAGGGGAAACAUUUAAAUGUCUUGGAAUGGCCUAGUCAAAGCCCAGACCUCAAUCCAAUUGAGAAUCUGUGGUAUGACUUAAAGAUUGCUGUACACCAGCAGAACCCAUCCAACUUGAAGGAGCUGGAGCAGUUUUGAGUUGAAGAAUGGGCUAAAAUCCCAGCGGCUAGAUGUGCCAUGCUUAUAGAGACAUACCCCAAGAGACUUGCAGCUGUAAUUGCUUCAAAAGGUGGCUCUACAAAGUAUUGACUUUGGGGUGGUGAAUAGUUAUGCACACUCAAGUUUUCAGUUUUUUUGUCUUAUUUCUUGUUUGUUUCACAAUAAAAAAAUGAAACACCAUUGAUCAAGUGCUUUGAAGUACACUGCUCAGCGAUUUCAACGCAUGCAUCUCAGCUCAGGAAUCAAACUUAACAGCACUAGGAUUUACACAUCCUUUGCACAUCCUUUGCAAGCCAACAUAACUUUUAGGCCUGAUGUGUUUGGUAAACUAUGAGCUUCAGGGCACUGUAUUAGGGUAAAACAAAUGUGUCACUGGGCUACACACAAUACCCCAUAAUGUCAAAGUGUAAUUAAGGUUUUUUGAAAUUUUUACAAAUUAAUAAAAAAUGUAAAGCUGAAAUGUCUAAGUCAAUAAGUAUUCAGGAGUAAACAUUUGCUUAACAAGUCACAUAAUAAGUUGUAUGUACUCAUUCUGUAUGCAAUAAUAGUGUUUCACAUGAUUUUUGGAUGACUACCUUAUCUCUGUACUCCACACGUAUGUGUGGAGUACAGAGAUAAGGAUGGAUCAACAAUGUUGAUAAGGAUGGAUCAACAAUGUUGUGGUCCCGUGUGGCUCAGUUGGUUGGGCAUGGCACUUGCAACGCCAGGGUUUAAUUUCCCCCGGGGACCAGUACGAAUGAAAAUGUAUGUACUCACUACCGUACGUCGCUCUGCAUAUGAGUCUGCUAAAUGACUAAAAUGUAAAAUUCCACAAUACUAACCUAAUUGACAGAGUGAAAAGAAAGAAGUCUGUACAGAAUAAAAACAUUCCAAAACAUGCAUCCUGUUUUUCUAGAAGGCACUAAAGUAAUACUGCAAAAAAAAUGGCAAAACAAUUAACUUUUUGUCCUGAAUACAAAGUGUUAUGUUUGGGGCAAAUCCAAUACAACACAUUACCG
rnacentral:lncRNA from 1 species